UACGUAGGGGGCUAGCGUUGCCCGGAAUCAUUGGGCGUAAAGCGCGUGUAGGCGGCCCGAUAAGUCCGCUGUGAAAGUCCAGGGCUCAACCCUGGAAUGCCGGUGGAUACUGUCGGGCUCGAAUCCGGAAGAGGUGAGUGGAAUUCCUGGUGUAGCGGUGAAAUGCGUAGAUAUCUGGAGGAACACCGGUGGCGAAGGCGGCAUCCUGGACCGGCAUUGACGCUGAGGAGCGAAAGCCAGGGGAGCAAACGGG
rnacentral:rRNA from 1 species